AUUGAACGCUGGCGGCAGGCUUAACACAUGCAAGUCGAACGAGUGGCGGACGGGUGAGUAAUGCUUGGGAAUCUCGCUUAUGGAGGGGGAUAACUACGGGAAACUGUAGCUAAUACCGCGUACCAUAGGAUGCGCCCAGGUGGGCUUAGUUUGUUGGUGGGGUAAAGGCCCACAAAGCCGACGAUCUCUAGCUGGUCUGAGAGGAUGACCAGCCACACUGGGACUGAGACAGGGCCCAGACGCCUACGGGAGGCAGCAGUAGGGAAUCUUCGGCAAUGGACGAAAGUUGACCGAGCAAUGCCGCGUGAGUGAAGAAGGCUUUCGGAUCGUAAAGCUCUGUUGUUGGAGAAGCGGUACCUAAACAGAAAGCCACGGCUAACUACGUGCCAGCAGCCGCGGUAAUAC
rnacentral:rRNA from 1 species